AAUAUUAGACAAGGGGGGCAACCCUGAUCCAGCCAUGCCGCGUGUGUGAAGAAGGUCUUCGGAUUGUAAAGCACUUUAAGUUGGGAGGAGGGGCUGAGGUUAAUACCCUGAAGUUUUGACGUUACCAACAGAAUAAGCACCGGCAAACUCUAUGCAGGCAGCCGCGGUAAUACAGAGGGUGCAAGCGUUAAGCGGAAUUACUGGGCGUAAAGCGCGCGUAGGUGGUUCAGUAAGAUGGUUGUGAAAUCCCCGGGCUUAACCUGGGAACUGCUUUCAUAACUGCUGAGCUAGAGUACGGUAGAGGGUAGUGGAAUUUCCUGUGUAGCGGUGAAAUGCGUAGAUAUAGGAAGGAACACCAGUGGCGAAGGCGACUACCUGGACUGAUACUGACACUGAGGUGCGAAAGCGUGGGGAGCAAA
rnacentral:rRNA from 1 species